AAAUCAGAAGCCCCUUAUUAGUCAGUCAUUAAUGCAACAAUAAUUAUGUUUUCUGUAUGACUGUGCAAUGGCUUUUGUACAUUUUGACCGUUUCUCUGAUGUAAUAUUAUAAGUUCAACUUAAGUCACAAAUUUCUUAACUUGAUGGUGUACAAGAAACCAAGUCUGUGCAACAUUAAAGUUACUUGAACCUAACAACUACAACCUGCUGUGAUAAAUCCCUAUAUCGAGUCAUUUGAAAUCUUUGUUUCAAUGUCUUUCAAUAAACAUCUGUAAAUGUGAAUAUAAGGAAAUGUAAUCAUUACUUCUUAUUUUCAUGAUUUAAAUAGUUACAGGAUAAUCCAAAAUCCGAUUUCUAAUCGUUUUUAUUUUUUACAAAAUUUUCAAAUGGUCUUUUUUCAUCUGCAGAAUUUUUUUUUUUUAUGUUUAACAUAACAUAUAAAACCUUAUUAUCUUAGUAUAAUCUUAAAUAUAGAAAUAUUUGCUCAACGUGUCUAUAUUCAAUAGCUUUCUAACAUUAUUCUUUUCUCAAUUAUGCAGCACUUAAAUAACACUAAGAAAGUUAUCAGGACUAACAAUUGUAACGUAGAGAUUGCUUUAAUUUUACAACACAUGACAUGGAAGCUGUGUUCAUUUGCAUCAAAACAUUUUAAACAAAAAUAUCAAGAAUUUAGGAAAAUAAAUUACAAACUGUUAAACAUUUUACAUACAAGUGGAUUUAAGGGUGUGCAGAGACACUGCUGAGACUCUGACUAAUAAGAUUUGGUGUCAGAAAGAUGGAAGUAGACGCAAGGGGAUGUGGUGAAGAGCAGACAGGCUCCGGGGGGGUUGGGGUCCGUGGAGUGUGUCGAAAUAUAAACCCUUCCCCAGCUUUACUGUUUCCGGGAGGAAGAUUACUUCCUGUGGAUCAGCACAAAAUUCCCUGUGCUCUGAGAACUGAGGAGGAGAUGAGAUUUUCUUGUCUUGUUUAUUCCCAGCACAAUGACACUGAGCUCUGUCCUGUGUCUGCGUCCUGAAUUUCACUCUGCUGAAAUUCAUAAGCAUUUAUGAAAUUCCUACACAUUUCAAUUUUAUAUCUGAAUUUAGACAUUUCCGUAAAGCUGUUUUGUGGCAAUGUCCAUUGUUAAAAGCACUAAACAAAUAAAAUUCAACUGAAUUGAAUUGGUGGCCAAGUUGUGCCACACAUAUACUUAGUUCUAUUUAGCAUACAGUAAACUCUGUUUGAGGAAAAAUAAAAAAGUUUAAAACCGACUAUUUUAAUGCGUCCUUUCCCCCAUUUUCUUUGGAUACGAUAUUUCCAUUUUGACUGUCAGAAGUUGUACAUGCUUUCAACAUGCAUCUAUAAAUGCAAUUACAUAAUAUAAAUAUGUCUCAGUAUUGAAUUCAACUCUUUUUGACACCAUGUAACUUUUGAAAUUAAUCCACCCAGCACCCCUCCCCCAUCAACACCCCGCCCCACCCCAACACCAAAUGAGCAUGGUACCUUAAUAAACAUCACAAAGGCAUUAAAGAAAAAAAAAAACGUGUAAAAAGUGAAAAAAUCUCAGUAACAUUGUUAAGCAAAUGCAUUGGCAAUCAUGAGCAGUAGUAGGGUGUAUGCGUACUGCCGUUUCAGCUCAUGGAGCCUAGACUCAGAGCUCGACAUGCUUUGAACUGCGAAUUUGAGCACUCAUCCUGAUGCAUAUUCAGCUUGUAAUCAAACAAAUCAAAAUACACAGAGCCUUAUAGGCAUCUGGGUCAGGUUUUGGGCCCUUAAUGUGUCACUUGAUGUGGUGCAAAACUGAAGGACAGCUUUGUACUGGACUGUCAGUAACCAGAUGAAGCAGCAUUUGUGUUCUAGCUUCAAGGCUUGCUGAUUCAUGUACAUGUCCCCAGGGACUCAUGGGAACUGAAAGCCCUCUGAUUGACUACUAAUGAGUCACAAGGUUUUUGUGUUUGUUUAUUUCAAGUAACGGGUUCAGGAUUGAGAAACUCUAUUGACGGCCAAAUAUUUUGUAUGGUUUCUAUUCAUGAGUAAAAAAAAAAAAACUACUAUUUUGUUUUGGCAUGUUGGGUAGGACAGUAAGAGAGUUUUUUUUUGAAGGGACUCUCUUUUGUCUUAAAGCAUAACUGUUCAUAACAAUGAGUGUGGUCUUUAUAAUAUUCAAUAUAAUUAAAAUGUAAAAAUAUCGCAAGCUGAUUCCAGUUCAGUCAUCAAGUGCUGAAAGUGACAGGUUUUCUAAUUCGAGCAGCUUCCCACUGAAGCCCCACCCUGUCCUGCUGGGAAACAGUAAACGAGAAUGGAGGUGGUGUGAUGUCUACUGGAGCCUUUGCUUCCUGAAUAGGCUGCCAAGAUGCUUGUUUCCUCCAAUCAAAUCGAACUAACGGGGAAGUAGUGUGGUCAAUGCAUAACUGAGGUUUCCCUGCACUGCAAUGCCUGCAUCUGCUCAUGCAGCUGACACAGCCUGUGCUUACGUCUGAACUCUACCAGCACGUGAAGCCAAGUGACCAUAGAUACAGUCUCUACAAGCUCUAAUCCUGUAGUCCAACAAGCACCUUGAGACAUUUAAAAGCUUUUUAUAUAUAUAUAUAUAUAUAUAUAUAUAUAUAUAUAUAUAUA
ensembl:lncRNA